AAUCAACGCUGGCGGCGUGCCUAACACAUGCAAGUCGAACGCGAAAGUUCCUUCGGGGAUGAGUAGAGUGGCGUCCGGGUGAGUAACGCGUGGGUAAUCUACCCUUGGGUGGGAAUAACCAGUCGAAAGGCUGGCUAAUACCGCAUAAUGCAGCGGCUCGACAUCGAGACAGUUGUUAAAGCGCAAUCGCAAGGUUGCGCGCCUAAGGAGGAGCCUGCGUCUGAUUAGCUUGUUGGUGAGGUAAUGGCUCACCAAGGCUGCGAUCAGUAGCUGGUCUGAGAGGACGGCCAGCCACAAUGGCACUGAAACACGGGCCAUACUCCUACGGGAGGCAGCAGUGGGGAAUUUUGCGCAAAUGGGCGAAAAGCCUGAACGCAGCAAACGCCGCGUGAAGGAUGAAAUCCUUCGGGAUGUAAACUUCGCAAAUAU
rnacentral:rRNA from 1 species